rnacentral:rRNA from 1 species
UGGCGGACGGGUGAGUAACGCGUGGGCAACCUGCCUUACACAGGGGGAUAACACUUAGAAAUAGGUGCUAAAACCGCAUAAGCGCACAGCUUCGCAUGAAGCGGUGUGAAAAACUCCGGUGGUGUAAGAUGGACCCGCGUCUGAUUAGCUUGUCGGCGGGGUAACGGCCCACCAAGGCGACGAUCAGUAGCCGGCCUGAGAGGGCGGACGGCCACAUUGGGACUGAGACACGGCCCAGACUCCUACGGAAGGCAGCAG